CAGCAGCCACGGGAAUACGUAGGGUGCGAGCGUUAAUCGGAAUUACUGGGCGUAAAGCGUGCGCAGGCGGUUAUAUAAGACAGAUGUGAAAUCCCCGGGCUCAACCUGGGACCUGCAUUUGUGACUGUAUAGCUAGAGUACGGUAGAGGGGGAUGGAAUCCCGCGUGUAGCAGUGAAAUGCGUAGGUAUGCGGAGGAACGCCGAUGGCGAAGGCAAUCCCCUGGACCUGUACUGACGCUCAUGCACGAAAGCGUGGGGAGCAAACAGGAUUAGAUACCCCCGUAGUCCCUGUCUCUUAUAC
rnacentral:rRNA from 1 species